UUGGAUAUAUUUUCUUACACAUCAUCACCCCCACACUAUAUUUAAUUCAUAGCCCUAGCUUAAGUUAGUGGUAGACAUUAGUUUACUUCAUUCCUGAGAAUUCCAAUACAUUCCAAACCAAAUCCAUUAGAUAGCAAUCAUAUUAUAAUUUCCUGAAGCAACUCACCAAUUUAGUUAAGUAAAUGCCAACUGAUAUAGAGCUAACCUCUAUGUAUACAUAGGUAGCAAUCUGAUUCUUGCAUCAAUUCUCAGAACGUACACACAACUAUAUAUGCAGAUCUGAACUCUUUUACAUGCUCAAAUGAUACAUGUAGGAGGAUCAUUUUAUGUUGUACUUGGGUACUCAAAUCUUCGCAUAAUUCUUUCAGCCCGGAAAGAGAUUAGUAUUUUUGGAGUCGCGUGAAACUCACGGGACUACCGUUAGCUAGGGAAUCACCCAAGAGGUAUACGACGUUAUACAUGCGAUAUAUAUGUGUGCGCGCGCGCAGAUGAUAUUGCCAUAAGAGCCUACGGCGUUAUAUACGCAGUCAUCUUGCAAAGUUGUGCAUUCACGGUAGUUGGUCAGUGUCAGACCAGGUGGUAUCCCUACUUUCAUUUGAGUUGUUCCUUACCGUUUAUUUCAGUUACUACUUAUGCCUUAUAUAUUUAGUACAUCUUUCGUACUGACGUCCCUUCUGAGACGCUGCUUUGUGUUUCAUGCCUGCAGGUACGGACCGACAGGGUGGUCUGACUCCUCCCCAGUAGGUGUUGAUCAGCUGGGUCAGAGUUGCGCUCCUUUCUUUUUGGAGCAGCGGUCUUGGAGGUUUAGGUAUAUGCAUGUGAGCUUUACUUUUUGGGUAUGACGAGGGCCUUGUCCCAUCGUGUGGUCUUGUAUAUAUAAUCUUAGAGGCUUGCAGACUAUUGUCUAGUCGUAUGUUAGUUUGGUAGUUCGGUUGAUUUGUAUAAUAAUGUAUCGAUUCUUCUUUUGAUAGCCUUAUCGGCUGCUGUCCAUAUUGUAUAUAGUUGUUGAUGGAAGUUCCGCUACUCGUGGAAUACUUUUGUUCCUUCUUGUAGUUGGUUAUAUGAUAUUCUUAUCGUCACAUAGCUCAUUUCUAAAGUUCAGAUGCCACAGUGGUACGCUCAGGUCCUCAGGUGCUGGGUGCUAGCCAUACCCUCGGUUUUGGGAUGUGACAAACUUGGUAUCAGAUAAGGUUUGUCCUAGGGAGUCUGCAAGCCGUAUCUAGUGUUGACACCCAAUUUUGUCCCUCCUUUAUUCCAA